CGGCGUGCCUAAUACAUGCAAGUCGAACGCAUUGUGGUUGAAAUGAUAUGAAGAACUUGUUCAGAUUUGAUUUUCAACAUUGCAAUGAGUGGCGAACGGGUGAGUAACACGUGGGAAACCUACCUCUUAGCAGGGGAUAACAUUUGGAAACAAAUGCUAAUACCGUAUAAUAAUUAAAACCGCAUGGUUUUAGUUUAAAAGAUGGUCUUGCUAUCACUAAGAGAUGGUCCCGCGGUGUAUUAGUUAGUUGGUGAGGUAAUGGCUCACCAAGACAAUGAUACAUAGCCGAGUUGAGAGACUGACCGGCCACAAUGGGACUGAGACACGGCCCAUACUCCUACGGGAGGCAGCAGUAGGGAAUCUUCCACAAUGGACGAAAGUCUGAUGGAGCAACGCCGCGUGUGUGAUGAAGGGUUUCGGCUCGUAAAACACUGUUGUAAGAGAAGAAUGACAUUGAGAGUAACUGUUCAAUGUGUGACGGUAUCUUACCAGAAAGGAACGGCUAAAUACGUG
rnacentral:rRNA from 1 species